UGGGGAAUAUUGGACAAUGGGCGCAAGCCUGAUCCAGCCAUGCCGCGUGAGUGACGAAGGUCUUCGGAUUGUAAAGCUCUUUUUGGCGGGGACGAUAAUGACGGUACCCGCAGAAUAAGCCCCGGCUAACUUCGUGCCAGAAGCCGCGGUAAUACGAAGGGGGCUAGCGUUGUUCGGAAUCACUGGGCGUAAAGCGCACGUAGGCGGAUUUGUUAGUCAGGGGUGAAAUCCCGGGGCUCAACCUCGGAACUGCCUCUGAUACUGCAAAUCUCGAGUCCGAUAGAGGUGAGUGGAAUUCCUAGUGUAGAGGUGAAAUUCGUAGAUAUUAGGAAGAACACCGGUGGCGAAGGCGGCUAACUGGUCCGGUACUGACGCUGAGGUGCGAAAGCGUGGGGAGCAAACAGGAUUAGAUACCCAAGUAGUCCCUGAGCGGGCUGGCAAGGCGCAU
rnacentral:rRNA from 1 species